GAGACAGCAGUCGCCGCGGUAAUACAGAGGGUGCGAGCGUUAAUCGGAUUUACUGGGCGUAAAGCGUGCGUAGGCGGCUAAUUGAGUCGGAUGUGAAAUCCCCGAGCUUAACUUGGGAAUUGCAUUCGAUACUGGUUAGCUAGAGUGUGGGAGAGGAUGGUAGAAUUCCAGGUGUAGCGGUGAAAUGCGUAGAGAUCUGGAGGAAUACCGAUGGCGAAGGCAGCCAUCUGGCCUAACACUGACGCUGAGGUACGAAAGCAUGGGGAGCAAACAGGAUUAGAGACCCCCGUAGUCCCUGUCUCUUAUAC
rnacentral:rRNA from 1 species